rnacentral:piRNA from 1 species
UCAGUCUUCAGUACCCCAUUGAAAUCAAA